UACGUAGGGCGCAAGCGUUUGUCCGGAAUUAUUGGGCGUAAAGAGCUCGUAGGCGGCCUGUUGCGUCCGCUGUGAAAUCCCGGGGCUCAACCCCGGGGCCUGCAGUGGAUACGGGCUGGCUAGAGGCAGGCAGGGGAGAACGGAAUUCCUGGUGUAGCGGUGAAAUGCGCAGAUAUCAGGAGGAACACCGGUGGCGAAGGCGGCUUGCUGGGCCUUACCUGACGCUGAGGAGCGAAAGCGUGGGGAGCGAACAGG
rnacentral:rRNA from 1 species